GAAAAACAAGCAAGUCAAGUCAAUGGUUCAUUGGUUUUCUUUCUUUCCAUUAUAUAUGUUCAGCUUUGUUUUGUAGUCACUUUCUGCGGGCAAAGGUUGCAACACUUUCACCCUUCCAUACCAAAAAUUAAAAUUAAAUUUUUUGAGUCAAUUCCAACACCACAUCUUCAUUCCAUCAAAACACAACAAAACCAAACCAAACAUAACACACCUUUGUAAACUCCGAUGAUGAAUAAGAACACAGACAUCAUCAUGAGUUAUU
rnacentral:lncRNA from 1 species